UGGCUGUAGCGCUGCAAGUGGGAUCCUGUCCCAAAAGUUGAGCCUGACUUAGGCUGGGCCCCGCAGGCGGCAGGGUCAGCCGGCAUCCCUGGCAGGGGAAUCGGGAAGGUCACAGUGAUAAAUCUCUGUGUGGAGACUCAGAGGGCACGAAACAGGUCCUGCUUAUGUCCUCUGCCUGUCACAGCCUGCCAGCCACCCCACCGCUCACCCCUGCCUCAGCAUCCUUGCAACUAGUUGAAUCAAUCAGGAGCCCAAGGGAACGAAUUGUUCUCUGUGUGAAAUGGGUCUGACCCACUGGGGAAGUCGAGAGGAGCGUCCGCCUGGCCUUUUCCCGAGCUGGGUGGGAGGGAAACGAGUUCGGCGCGCGGGGCGGGGGCAGGGGUGAGGCGCAGCGGCCGAGAUCCUGAGCCACGGGACCCUUGUUCCGGGUCCCGCGGCCUGCUCAGUAGUUGCCCCUCGGGGUUCCAGGCGGAUGACUGACAGUUGCAGCAGCUCGGGGGAGGCGAGGGAUAGGCAGGACUUGGGGCUCCCGUCUGCUGGGCUGUGAGGUCCCCGCGGCCCGAUGACCCGGCCUCGGUGAUAAGCGCCGCGACAACGGCAACCUCGAGCUGGAGCCAGACGGCUCGCGAUGGGUCAGGGGGCGACCGAGGAGGGACCAUGCGGCCUGUAGGGGGCAGCGCCGAGCUCGGGAGGAGACAACCGCCGGCGGGCGGGGUGGGUCUGGGCUGCCCCCUCCGGGAGCUGCCCCGGGGCGGCACGGCGACUGUCCUAACCGGCCGCCCCUGCCCGCCGUGCGCUUCCUCUCGGCGCCGCGGGCCUCAGCCGGGGCCCUGAGGGAAUCUUCCGAUAAUUCUGCCGCCGCGACUUUAACCGUGCACAAGGCGAGAGCUCGAAACAAACAUCACAUCUAAAUUA